UUAUUUAAAAUGUAUUUUAUUAUUAGAGUAGUAGUAGUUAAGUUCUUGAAACUUAAAAAAUUUGGCGGUAUUUUAGUCUAUUCAGAGGAACCUGUGGUAUAAUCGAUAAUCCACGUUGGACCUUACUUAAUUUUGUAAAAUUAUUUUUAAUUUAUCAAUUUGUAUACCGCUGUUGUUUGAAGAUUUUAUAAGAAUAAUAAUUUUCAUAAUUUUUUAUAAAAAAGUAAAUCAGGUCAAGGUGCAGUUUAUAGUUAAGUAUUUCAUGGGUUACAAUAAAUUUAUUUAUAUGAAUUAAUUUAUGCAAUUUGAUUAUGAAGGUGGAUUUGAAAGUAAACUUUUAUAGAUAGAAAAGUUGGUU
rnacentral:rRNA from 1 species